rnacentral:rRNA from 1 species
GUGGGGAAUAUUGGACAAUGGGCGAAAGCCUGAUCCAGCCAUGCCGCGUGUGUGAAGAAGGUCUUCGGAUUGUAAAGCACUUUAAGUUGGGAGGAAGGGCAGUAAGUUAAUACCUUGCUGUUUUGACGUUACCGACAGAAUAAGCACCGGCUAACUUCGUGCCAGCAGCCGCGGUAAUACGAAGGGUGCAAGCGUUAAUCGGAAUUACUGGGCGUAAAGCGCGCGUAGGUGGUUUUGUAAGUUGGAGGUGAAAUCCCCGGGCUCAACCUGGGAACUGCCUCCAAAACUGCAUGACUAGAGUACGGUAGAGGGUAGUGGAAUUUCCUGUGUAGCGGUGAAAUGCGUAGAUAUAGGAAGGAACACCAGUGGCGAAGGCGACUACCUGGACUGAUACUGACACUGAGGUGCGAAAGUGUGGGGAGCAAACAGGAUUAGAUACCCCUGUAGUCC